rnacentral:misc_RNA from 1 species
GGAGAGGAUAAGCUAUAGAGAUAUUUCAUAUCAUGAGAUUUGAAGCAAUAUAGAGGAAGCAAACAGUGACAUUAAUUAAUAUGAGGCUUGUGAACCAGAUAAAUGCCAAGCAAACCUUACUAGAUUUAGCAAAGUACCAAUUAAUUACGACUCUUGAUUAACCUCUAUCUAUCCACGUAUCAAUUGAUCCCCUACCUAAUUUUCCUUGAGGGGAUCAUCUAUCACUGAAAAGUAAUAGAUUUUAUUGACUUUUACAAUUGUUGACAGUCCAUGUCUAUGUCAAAUUGAUGUUUGCUUUGGUUUAGGUUUAAUAUAUCAAGUGGUGAGUAAAAUCAUGGAUAGGUAAUGGACCAUGUAGUGGAUGAUAUUUCCAGAAGUUGUCCACACCUAUGAUCAU